rnacentral:rRNA from 1 species
GAUGAACGCUAGCGGCAGGCCUAACACAUGCAAGUCGAGGGGCAUCGGGAAUGAAGCUUGCUUCAUUUGCCGGCGACCGGCGCACGGGUGCGUAACGCGUAUGUAACCUACCUUAGACAGGGGGAUAACACUGAGAAAUUGGUACUAAUACCCCAUAACACAUCGAGAGGCAUCUCUUGAUGUUGAAAGUUCCGGCGGUUUAAGAUGGACAUGCGUUGUAUUAGCUAGUUGGUGAGGUAACGGCUCACCAAGGCGACGAUACAUAGGGGGACUGAGAGGUUAACCCCCCA